UGAAAUCUCUCUCUCUCUCUCUCUAGAAAAGAAGAAUCCUGAAACGAACCUUUGAGAUGCCCAUUCUCCAAUCCGGCCACAAGCUUGAUGUGCUCUGCCAUUAAUCGUGCUAUAGGAACAAGCCAUCGAAGGAUCUUAUCCAUUUCAACUUUGACACCAAGAUAAGUUGGCUGUAGAAAGACACAAUUAUUGUUUAUGAAUUAGUAGAACUCUCAUGAGGCCCACAGGAAUUCAAGGUUGAAAACUUCAGUCAAAGACAAAGAGAAGGAAUGGAGGUUGGGCGACAUGCCUUUCAAAAAAAAAACAGCCUUUCUAAGUAACAAGGAUCAAAUUUGAGAGUAGUUCACGAGAAGAACGACAACUCACUCAUAAGGAUCGGCAUCAAGAAUUCAAACUUCAAACAAGGUUCGCCAACUUACAAUGAGAUUUAUCUGGCUGAUUAUGUUUGAAUAAUGUUGCCAUUACAGUAAAAGUUUAAGAUAAAUGGUUGGAUGGAAGAAUGAAGAACAAGCAAGAAAGUCGAAUGAAUGAGUGAACAAGCAGGC